GCACUUUACCUAAUCGAGUCAUUGAAUGUUAGGCAUCAGCUUAUGGGAGAAAAUUGUGAUACUAAUAGCUCCAAAUAUGGCCUCCAAGAGAUUCUAUAAAUCACGAACUUCUUUUUCAUUUCAAUUUUUUUAAAUUUAUUUAAAGAAGAAAUUGCCUUACCAGAUAGCAAGCUCCACAACCACUUCCACCACUGUAAAGCCUAGAGACACCCGCGACUUGACCAUUGUUGACGGUCUUUCCAAACUCUCCAAACCCACAAGCUCCAGCUGGAAAAAUUAUGAGAAGCUCAUUUGAAUUAGUUAUCAUCACACCGAAUAAUACAAACUACUAUAUUACGAUCUACUACGCUAGUGGUAUUAUUAAUAUUCUGUUCCGUACUAUUGACUGAGUCAAAAUAUCUUGAAGAAGUAAAAUAUUUGGUAAAAAAAAUUGAAAAUCACUUAACUCUUUUCUACACAAAAUUUAGAAAUGGGUGAUGGGAUUGCGAUAGCGAUGGGGGUGGGUGAUGGUCAUUUUUGUAGUCGCAUGGGCUUGAUAGUAGUACAAAUCUGGUGGCAAGUUGAGAUAGUAUAGAUCUAGUGGUGACCGAAGGUGGUGAUCGUGAGAUGGCUGGAAGUUCAAAUCUGAUGGUGACAUUUUAGAUUGGUGUCAAUGGUUGUAAUGGUGGUGGUGGAAAUAGGCAGCGUCAACGACAGUGGCGACGGUGGUUUCAACGUUGAUAAUCACCACAGUGAUGAAAACAUGCAGCGGAAUAGACGUAAAAUUGUGUUACAAAAAGUGUAACACAUAUUUUACACAAGGGUAACACACAGUCUUUCAAAAAUAAUAAUAAUAAUAAUAAAGUAAAAUAGUUGUGCAAAAAAAUAAAAUAUCAUAAAGAAGAGGGGAAAGGGAAAACGAGAGCACCACAUACUUGCAGUUCCUAGGCCUUCGGGACUACUGUAAUAGGUUGCUCUCGAGUAUUGAAAUCUUUGGCCAUAACAAGUUGCUGCCAACAGCAAUAUCAUAGGAAAAAAGAAGAAAUAAGAACCCAUUUUUCAGGCAGUUCCA
rnacentral:lncRNA from 1 species